UACGGAGGAUGCAAGCGUUAUCCGGAUUUAUUGGGUUUAAAGGGUGCGUGGGUGGAAUGAUAAGUCAGGGGUGAAAUCCAACAGCUUAACUGUUGAAUUGCCUUUGAUACUGUUGUUCUUGAGUAUAGUUGGCGUUGGCGGAAUGUGACAUGUAGCGGUGAAAUGCGUAGAUAUGUCACAGAACACCGAUCGCGAAGGCAGCUAACGCAACUAUUACUGACACUGAUGCACGAAAGCGUGGGGAGCAAACAGG
rnacentral:rRNA from 1 species